AAGGGAGACCUACCCGCUCAUACACCGAAACUAUUGUAUAGGUGAUGAGAUGGGUCAUCCCAAGGUCGAACGAGGUUGGGCUUAAGCUUUCAAACUAUCUCCAGUUCGCAGAACCCUAAAAAGUAGAGCUAGGUUAAAUACCUCCUCUGCUUUGAAUGGUUUCUGUUCCUUGUGGUAGGAUACGAGAUUGUGCAAGUUAGUUUACUAGCUUGUGCGAUCCAUAGAACCUUGAAAAUUGCAUAGCAACAAACUGUCAGGUAGUUGUAAUUCGCUUGAGUAAUAACAAGUGAAUUUCUAACAGACACAAAACACCAAUGAAAAUUUUUG
rnacentral:misc_RNA from 1 species